AGCGAACGUUAGCGGCGGGCCUAACACAUGCAAGUCGAACGCGAAAGGUCUUCGGACUGAUUAGAGUGGCGCACGGGUGAGUAACACGUAGGUAAUCUACCCUUUGGCGGGGGAUAACGUUCCGAAAGGAGCGCUAAUACCGCAUAAGACCACGGAGUCUCCGGACGCUGUGGGAAAAGGUGGCCUCUUCUUGAAAGCUAUCACCGGAGGAUGAGCCUGCGUCCCAUCAGCUAGUUGGUAAGGUAAUGGCUUACCAAGGCAAAGACGGGUAGCUGGUUUGAGAGAAUGAUCAGCCACACUGGCACUGGGAACACGGGCCAGACUCCUACGGGAGGCAGCAGUGAGGAAUAUUGGGCAAUGGGCGAAAGCCUGACCCAGCCACGCCGCGUGAGUGAUGAAGGCCCUCGGGUCGUAAAGCUCUGUGGAGAGGGACGAAAAACCUGGGGUCUAAUAAGGCCCGGACUUGACGGUACCUCUUUAGCAAGCACCGGCUAACUCUAGUGCCAGCAGCCGCGGUAA
rnacentral:rRNA from 1 species